UGGGUCUCCAGACGUUGUUGGACUACAACUCCCAUCAUCCCUGAGCUCUGGCCUGGCUAGGUAGGGGUGAUGGGAGUUGUAGUUCAACAACAUCUGGGGACCCA